GUAUUUCAAUAUAGAGAUGCUCUGGUGUGGUUAACUUUAUGACGAUGGAGUUCUCAGAUGCUUGCAGACACAGGUAGACUCACCACCAAGGCAGCAGUUGUAAUACAAGCAUGUUGGACUGGCAACCAAAUACCAUGAGCCACAUGGCCAUCGAUAAUGCGAUUUUCCAAAAUGGCAAACAGCUUUUGGUAAAGUUCUAGACCAAAAAGGCUUAUUUACCUCUAGUUUACACAGUGGUUGAAUUCCUGUAAAAUUUAGUAUGUAUUAACACCCUGUAGAAUAUAUUUGAAAUGCGUGAUUUGGAAUUUAAGUAGAGAGCUUGUGUAAAAUACGGAUUCCUAGUUCUCGACUCCAGAGAGUUUUGACUCAGAAAGUCUGGAUAGGACCAAGAAUCUACAUCAACCUCCUGGUAGUUAUUCUGAUUCAGGCAUUCUGUUUUCUAAACAAAUUAGGGCUGGGGUGCGGGGGUGAGUUCUAGAGAGGGAACCUUAAACAUAAACUAGGAACCGGAAACUCUGUUUGGUCAUUCGUAUGUAGUGUAAUGUACUGGGGCAAAAAUAAGGAAUUUAGAAUAGGAAUAUCUCAGUUCCAGACCUAAGUUUGCUACUUAUAAUUGCCUGAGUUGGUACAAUUUUUUUGUAUCUAUUUCUUCAUCUAUAAAAGUGGUUAUUAUUACCUGCAGAUUAUUAUUACCUGCAGUGUGGAGGUGUGGAGGGAUGGGGUUGUGGUUUCUGAGAGCCUUUGAAACUGGCUUGCUUUAUGAUUAUUAAAACUCUUGAUAUAUGGCAAUUUGUAAAAUGAAAUAUAUUAACCAGGCUAAUUGCUUAUUAUGAUGACUCUAUUAUUCACACUUUCCGAAAAUCUAAAUGGGGUGCUGUCACUUUUCCAAAAGCCCACUGUUUGAAACCAAAGAAAGCAAGCCACAAAGAAAUCUGGCCCGCUAACCUCUCCACUUAUCAAACAAACGGAGGGACACCAGCUGCUAAUCCGGUUGCACGGGUGUGGCCGAGUCACUUCACUUUCACUGGCUUGGUUUACUUAGACUUUCAGCUCCAUGUGACUCAGUUACUCCUCCGUUCCUCUGCCUCCUUCUUCUCACACCUGCCACCAUCCUCUCUACCUUUCUGAUGACUUGCUCUGCUUUACUACCGCUUCACGCACUAUGCGUUCUCAUCCCAGGUUUCAGACACCAGCUUCUCGGCCGCCGCUUUGGCUUCUUCCCUUUGUUUGGUGAUCUCUGGCAAUCCUCCCGCAACGUCUGGGCUCCUCCCCAAAAUGGGGGGAGGGGACUCUCGUUUGCAGCCCGUGCGGGGGCCCACACUGUGCAUCCCAGCCCCCCUGCACCUCCUCGCAUCCCCGCGACCUGCUCUCACCUCCCGGCAUCCCGCCCCUACCUCCGCCCUCAGCCCGGAGCUCCGAGGCUCCCGAGCCGCAGGUUGAAUAAGGUGGUGAAGGUGCCGGGUUCCUCGCCACCCAGUUCAGCCCCGCAGCGCAUCGCCAGGGUCCCCUCUUCAGACAGUGCGCUCCGGCCGCCUGAGGCCGAAGCCUGCUCUUCCUCCUUAGCCCGGGAUGCCCACCAAGGGCUGGGUCGGUCGCCGCUGAGUCUGGAGCCAGGCGCCACCCACGUGUCCGAGAGCGCCGCGCCCGGCCAGCGCAAACCUCUCUACAGCCACAAAAUUCAUGCACCUGGGACUUGCCAGGGCUCCCACGCGGAUGCCCACGGUGGCGCCAGCUGGAGAAUGGAUUGCGACUCCGAGAUGCACGUGAAAAUGUGCAAGAAGAUCGCCCAGCUCACUAAGGUGAUCUAUGCCCUGAACACACGCCAGGAUGAGGCGAAGGCCAGCAUGGAGGCGCUGCGCGAAGCCCACCAGGAGGCGCUCCAGACCGCGGUGGCGGAGACCGAGGCCAGGCUCCUGCAGGAACAGGGCCACGCCGACGAGGAGGCCCUGCUGCAGCGCAUUCAGGCCCUGGAGAGCGCGCUGGAGCUGCAGAAGAGGCUGACGCAGGAGGCGCUGGCCCACUCGGCCACGUGCAGGCUGGAGACCAAAGAGAGGGAGCUGAGAGUGGAGGCGGAGCACGCCGAGCGGGUCCUCACCCUGUCCAAGGAGAUGCUGGAGCUCAAGGCUGACUACGAGAAGAGGCUCCAGCACCUGAUGAGCCACGAGGCGCCGCGGUGGGGCUCGCUGUCCCAGGAGAGCCCCGACCCCAAGGCAGAGCCGGGCUCUGGCCCCGAGAUGCGGGAGGUCCUGCUGGAGGUGGAGCGGCUGCGCGUGGAGAACCAGCAGCUGAGCAAGGACUAUGCCCGGAAGGCUGAGGAGCUGCAGGCCACCUACGAGCGGGAGAACGAGGCCAUCCGGCAGGCCAUGCAGCAGUCAGUGAGCGAGGCCCUGUGGCAGUGGCAAGAGAAGGAGACCGACCUCCGCAAGAACUUCCAGGUCCAGGAGUCGGCCCUGCAGGCCCAGGUCAGGAAGCUGGAAGGGGAUCUGGAGCACAGGGGCCGCAAGAUAAGUGACCUGAAGAAGUACGCCCAGAAGCUUAAGGAGAGGAUUCAGGACCUGGAUGUGCAGCUCAAGGAGGCUCGACAGGAGAAUUUGGAGUUGAAAAGCACUGCGAAAAAACUUGGGGAGAAGCUGGCCGUCGCCAAAGACAGACUGAUGCUGCAGGGGAGCCACGGCACACAGAAACCAGGUGACGUGAAGACAGAGCGAGUUUCAGAGAAUGAAGUCCUAGAGAAAGCAAGUGACUCGGAAACCCAGAGUCUCCAUCCUCAGCAGGAUCAGAACUUCCCCAAGGAGAGUCCAGGCAUGAAUGGAGGCACAGAUGCACAGACCAAGAAAGAGGCGAGUGUGGAGAUGGAGUACAUAAAGCAACAAUAUGAAGAAGACCUUCGUCAAAUCAAACACCGGACGGAGGAGGAGAAGAAACACCUCAAAGACCAGCUGCUGAAGCGACUGGAUGACGCGGUGAAGAAGCACACCGUGGAGAUCGAAGCAGUUCACUCGUCGAUGGAGGCGGAGAGGAAGAGGCUGCAGACGGAAGUAGAAGCACAGUUGGAGGAAGUGAAGAAGAAAUCAGAAAACGAAAUAAAGCAGCUAGAAGAGGAGAAAGCGGCCUUGCAAGUGAAGCUGCAGAAUUCUCUGCUCGAGGUUUUAAGGCUGGAAGAAUGUAUCCAUCAGAGCAAGGUGUGUCCCCGCCCAGAUGAGGGACAGGGCCUGCACUGCCAGCACGGCAGCAUCGAAGAGACCCAGGAUCCAUGCUUGAAGCUCAAUGAACCUUCUCAGACCCUGCCCAGAGAAGAGUGUCAAGAUAAGUUAGCAGCUGAAGAAGGGACCAGCAGCGGUGAAGAAGAAAGGAUUAAAGUGCCCCUCGAGGAAGGGGGUGACCUGAAGUCUCCGCUGGGGUCUUUGCUGAAGGAGAAGACACCUGAAAUCCAGCGUCUGCAGGAAGAGUGGCAGAGUCAAAAGGCCAGACUGCAAGCCCAGGUCUCGCAGAUGCAGCAGGCUCUGGAGCAGUGCGCCAGCCAGUACCAGGACGACCUGCGGGAGCUGCAGCAGCUCUCCGACCACGAGAGGGAGAAGCUGCAGCGCGAGCUCCGGGAGACCAGAGAGCAGAACCAGGCCGUGAAGGCCCAGCUCCAGGCCUCCCACCAGAGGGCCCUCCGCGUGCUGGAGAAGGCCAAAAAUCAAGAGCUCAAGGCCACAGAGGAGCGCCUGAAGAAGGAAUCCAGCCACAGCCUCCAGAUGCAGCACCAGGCGCACCGGCUGGAGCUCCAGGCCUUGGAGGAAAAGGCCCAGCAAGAGCUCCAGGGGGAGCAGGAGAGGAUGCAGGCUCAGCAGGCUCUGCUGCUAGAGUCCCUCAGGCAGGAGCUGUGGGAGCAACGGGCUGCCUGCUCUGAGCACCAGAAGGACUUGGAGGUGCUGCAGGCUGAGCUGAGGGCUCUGGGCAGCUCGGGCAGGCGGCAGGCGACCGCCCAGUGUCCAGGGGACAGCGAGGACCACACCAGCACCGCAGAGGAUGGAGGCGGUCCGGGCCCAGCGACCUCCGCAGCGGGCGUCCCUGAGCAGAGUCCCGGCGAGGGAUGCGGCCUCUGGGAGGAGAACUCGCAGCUCAAGGACACGGUGCGGCGGCUGCGGGCCGAGGUGGAACAGCACCAGCAGGAGGCGCUGCAGCUCCGCGACCAGCGCAGGCUGCUGGAGGAGGACCAGCAAGCCCAGCGGGCCCGGGAGGUGGAGAUGCUACACCAGGAGCACCGGAAGGAGAUGCAGGCCGUGGUGGCAGAUUUCAGCAGCACUCAAGCCCGGCUCCAGGCCCGGCUGGCUGCCCUGGAAACCGAGCUGAAAGAUUCCGGGGAGAAGCCAGGGAAGGGGGCGUCCAGGCCCGAGGACCUUCAGCUCAUUGGCCGUCUGCAGACCCGCCUGAAGGAGAGAGAGGACAUCAUCAAGCAGCUCACGGAGGAGAGAAGAUUUCACUAUGCAGCGUUCCCCAGCGCAGUGUCCCAUCGGAAUCGGUCCUUCUCUUUCAAUCCUCACCCGGGGUAUUUGACUCCGUCCAUGAAAAAAAAGAAGAUGGAGGAAGUGCCCAGCCGAGUGGUCAGUGUGCCGAACCUCGCCUCCUAUGCCAAGAACUUUCUGAGUGGUGAUCUGAGCUCCAGGAUCAAUGCCCCUCCAAUAACUAAGUCACCCAGCUUGGACCCGAGCCCCAGCGGAGGUCGGCCUUACAAACCCACGCAGUCUCUAGAUGUGAAAACUGCCACAAGGACACAAGAUGGUGACACAGCCCAACCCAAAGAAGUCCAGCAGAAACAGGGCUCUGCCCACCAGGAAUGGUUCACGAAGUAUUUUUCUUUCUAAAUUGAUCCUUAGGAUCCAUCCCAAAGAGGACAUUUGAAAAACAUUUCUUUUAAAACAGACUAUGGAGAGUUACUACUCUUGUUUGUUGAAACAUUUACCCACCACUGUGCAACUCCUGAUGACUAGCAAAGUGGGCUACACUUCAUACUACUGCCCUUAACUCAGCGUAAUACCUGCUGCAGAAAUAGACUUGUGUUGAGACGCUACAUAUUUUGACUCCUUUCUUGUUACAGGACAUAUUUCUUGGGCAUUGAAGUAAAGCAUCAGUGGAUACACAUUUAAGUUUUUUGUUUGAUAUGACCAAAUUACUGUCCAGAAAGUUUCUAGCAAUUUACACCUCCGCCAGCAGUGAACAAAAUUUUCUGACUCUGGAUAAUACCGACGAGCUCAAUUUGAUAGAUAAAAUAUUCUCAUUUUUGUUUGCAUAUUUAUCAAUCUCUCAAGAGCAGAGUGGCCUAGAGAUGAUGGUGAUAGCUUGGAGGGAACCGCAGAGAGGAAGAGAAAUGAACAAUUCAGAACUGAGUUGGGAAGAAGGAACAAGAGGAUUUGAUGAGAAAUCUCUUGAGGUUAUAUUAUGGCAGAGGGAACAAGAGUUAACACAUCCCUAGGGCAAGACUGGAAAGGAAUAUUGCUGUGAAUUGUUCCUUAACCGGGGCAUAAAAGAACAAAUUCACCCCAUCAGUGGCCGCAUACCGUGGACCUGAGCCCUUACUAACCGCUCUAGCAUUGAUGCCACAUCCAACGUAGCAGUUGCGAUUGAGGCUACUUGGUCUGUACUUAAUCUCCGGGCAAGUUAAAUGGAGCUACAACCUUCAGAUUUCCGGGGGUGAUCCCCGGCGUCAUCCCCAGGUGCAGUACUGGGGUUGAUCUACUAGCUCCUCGGCGGUUUGCUCGCCCCUUGCAGGAGAUACUCAAAGAUGGCCAGGCCUCUGACUAUCUAGUAAGAAGUUAGUUUCUCAUUAUCUCACCACUGGAAGUCCAGAUAGUAUGGUGAUAACCAGCUGACUCACUGUUCUCGUGUGCGGCGUCCUCCCUCAUCUUCCCAGUGUCUGAGUCCUUGCACUAGCAAUGUUCCCCUCUACGAGGACACUUCCUGGAACACCACUGCUGGAAUCUUCCGCAACUGGGCCACCCUCCUUGUGCCAGUGACUGUCUGUGCCUCACAUACCACUCAGAAUGGGUGCCAGUUGGACAGUGAGCCAGUCCCCGAACCGCAUCCUACUGUCUGCCGUUUCAGACCACGUCCCUAACACCCACGUCGUUCAGGUUCUCUGGAAGCAUACCCCAAGACACAAUUAGAAGUGCAAGACAUUUAUUAGGGAUCUCGAUGCCUAAGACCAGAGACCACCAGAAACGCACCUGUAGUUGAAUAAGCAGUGUCUCUCACCUGCUGCAGAGGGAGAAUGCUCAUCAUGGGGACUUCUCAGCGGUGUUAGCACCAAUUUUAAGAUUCUGGCGUUGGUUGUGUGAUCUCAAGGAGAGUCUAAGGAGGCAGGGAUUCACCCAAGGGUGGAUGCUGUCAGAAAGUGAGGACAGUCCUCUAACUGGAUGUCUUAAUCUUUUCUAGAAGGGCAGAUUAGAGCAAGGAUGAAGCCGUAAAUGGUUAAAAAAAAAAGUAAUGGUUACUCACUUUAGCCAGGAAGAUGUUUGGUUAUUUUGGGGAUGGCACAGUGACCUCGUUUUUUUCUUUUUCCCUGUGCGUAGACAAAAUUAUGAAGUGGUUUUCUUGGUCCUACUUUAUCAUGGUCUCAGAGCAACUUUGUCCAAGGUUGGUAUUCUGAAACAGUUUCUGUCCAGCACGAGAGUAGGAUGGCCACGCAGUGCUAGGCCAGCGUCUGGAUGUUAGGGACAGGUCCCCUCCCCCUUCUUAGAGGAAACACCUGCAUAAGAUAAAGGGGAGAGGAAGCGGAGAUGGGAGGGACCAUGGGACGAGGACGGAGGGUUGACAACCGAGAAGGGGGCCAAGGAGGAUUUGGGAAAGGACAGCUCUGAGAUCUGGCAGGGCUGACGGUGCUCCAGAGCAGACUGCCCACUAAGGUCCUGUGCUGGGCAGAAGUGACCUGGCCCCGGUGACCGCACUGCACGUGGUCACUCCCAGAAAGCACAUAGCCUUUGCUGGAACUCUGCGGCAGGUCCGCCAAGGCGAGAACGUUGGCAACUGCAUCCGCUCUCUCUAAAGGACUGAGCAGCACUCCUCCGUGGCCUCCACAGGCCCAGGCCCCAGCCCACAGGAAUGUCAACAAUUAGAGGCUGGGUAGAAGAGGAAACAGAAAAGGGGAGAAGUGUUAACGAGAAUGAGUUCAAGUAAAGAAAAUAAA